AUACGGAGGUUGCAAGCGUUAAUCGGAAUUACUGGGCGUAAAGCGUACGUAGGCGGUUAGUUAAGUUAGAUGUGAAAGCCCCGGGCUUAACCUGGGAACUGCAUUUAAAACUGGCUAACUAGAGUUAAGUAGAGGGGAGUGGAAUUUCAGGUGUAGCGGUGAAAUGCGUAGAGAUCUGAAGGAACACCAGUGGCGAAGGCGACUCCCUGGACUUGAACUGACGCUGAGGUACGAAAGCGUGGGUAGCAAACGGGAUUAGAUACCCCAGUAGUCC
rnacentral:rRNA from 1 species